rnacentral:pre_miRNA from 1 species
AGGAGGAACAAUCACAGUGGCAGCGGCCAGCUCUGGAGCCCUGGAUUCAGCUCCUGCAGUAGCUACAGAGCUCUCCGUCUGCAGGGCCUGGAGGCUCCGGGGCGGG